UACGUAGGGUGCGAGCGUUGUCCGGAAUUAUUGGGCGUAAAGAGCUCGUAGGCGGUCUGUCGCGUCGGUCGUGAAAACUUGGGGCUUAACCCUGAGCUUGCAGUGGGUACGGGCAGACUAGAGUGCGGUAGGGGAGACUGGAAUUCCUGGUGUAGCGGUGAAAUGCGCAGAUAUCAGGAGGAACACCGGUGGCGAAGGCGGGUCUCUGGGCCGUAACUGACGCUGAGGAGCGAAAGCAUGGGGAGCGAACAGG
rnacentral:rRNA from 1 species